GGCAACCGCAGGCUCGCGGCGGGCGCUGGGCGCGGGAUCCGACUCUAGUCGUAAUGGAGGCGGGCGGCUUUCUGGACUCGCUCAUUUACGGAGCAUGCGUGGUCUUCACCCUUGGCAUGUUCUCCGCCGGCCUCUCGGACCUCAGGCACAUGCGAAUGACCCGGAGUGUGGACAACGUCCAGUUCCUGCCCUUUCUCACCACGGAAGUCAAGCUAAGGUGAUUCAAACUAAAUCAACCCAAUGUCUCUCCUACCCACUCACCAUUGCUACCCUUCUCACCUCUGCCUCCUGGUGCCUCUAUGGGUUUCGACUCAGAGAUCCCUAUAUCAUGGUGUCCAACUUUCCAGGAAUCGUCACCAGCUUUAUCCGCUUCUGGCUUUUCUGGAAGUACCCCCAGGAGCAAGACAGGAACUACUGGCUCCUGCAAACCUGAGGCUGCUCAUCUGACCACUGGGCACCUUAGUGCCAACCUGAACCAAAGAGACCUCCUUGUUUCAGCUGGGCCUGCUGUCCAGCUUCCCAGGUGCAGUGGGUUGUGGGAACAAGAGAUGACUUUGAGGAUAAAAGGACCAAAGAAAAAGCUUUACUUAGAUGAUUGAUUGGGGCCUAGGAGAUGAAAUCACUUUUUAUUUUUUAGAGAUUUUUUUUUUUAAUUUUGGAGGUUGGGGUGCAAUCUUUAGAAUAUGCCUUAAAAGGCCGGGCGCGGUGGCUCACGCCUGUAAUCCCAGCACUUUGGGAGGCCAAGGUGGGCGGAUCGCCUGAGGUCAGGAGUUCAAGACCAACCUGACUAACAUGGUGAAACCCCAUCUCUACUAAAAAUACAAAAUUAGCCAGGCAUGAUGGCACAUGCCUGUAAUCCCAGAUACUUGGGAGGCUGAGGCAGGAGAAUUGCUUGAACCCAGGAGGUGGAGGUUGCAGUGAGCUGAGAUCGUGCCAUUGUGAUAUGAAUAUGCCUUAUAUGCUGAUAUGAAUAUGCCUUAAAAUAAAGUGUUCCCCACCCCUG
rnacentral:lncRNA from 1 species